rnacentral:rRNA from 1 species
GACGAACGCUGGCGGCGUGCUUAACACAUGCAAGUCGAACGGAAAGGCCCUGCUUUUGUUGGUUGCUCGAGUGGCGAACGGGUGAGUAACACGUGAGUAACCUGCCCUUGACUUUGGGAUAACUUCAGGAAACUGGGGCUAAUACCGGAUAGGAGCUCCUGCUGCAUGGUGGGGGUUGGAAAGUUUCGGCGGUUGGGGAUGGACUCGCGGCUUAUCAGCUUGUUGGUGGGGUAGUUGCUUACCAAGGCUUUGACGGGUAGCCGGCCUGAGAGGGUGACCGGCCACAUUGGGACUGAGAUACGGACCAGACUCCUACGGGAGGCAGAAGUGGGGAAUAUUGCACAAUGGGCGGAAGCCUGAUGCAGCAACGCCGCGUGCGGGAUGACGGCCUUCGGGUUGUAAACCGCUUUCGCCUGUGACGAAGCGUGAGUGACGGUAAUGGGUAAAGAAGCACCGGCUAACUACGUG